UACGUACUGUGCGAACGUUAUUCGGAAUUACUGGGCGUAAAGCGUGCGCAGGCGGCGCGUUAAGACAGGUGUGAAAGCCCCGAGCUUAACUUGGGAAUUGCGCUUGUGACUGGCGUGCUGGAGUGUGGCAGAGGGAGGUGGAAUUCCACGUGUAGCAGUGAAAUGCGUAGAGAUGUGGAGGAACACCGAUGGCGAAGGCAGCCUCCUGGGCCAGCACUGACGCUCAUGCACGAAAGCGUGGGGAGCAAACAGG
rnacentral:rRNA from 1 species